AUCGCUUCUCGGCCUUUUGGCUAAGAUCAAGUGUAGUAUCUGUUCUUAUCAGUUUAAUAUCUGAUACGUCCCCUAUCUGGGGACUACAUAUUAAAUGGAUUUUUGGCUCAUGGAGCCGGAACCGGGGCUUGCUCCGUCCACUCCACGCAUCGACCUGGUAUUGCAGUGUCUCCAGGAACGGUGUGCUUCCC